rnacentral:rRNA from 1 species
GACGAACCGUGCGAACGUUAUUCGGAAUCACUGGGCUUAAAGCGCGUGUAGGCGGGAGGGCACGUCCGUUGCUGAAAUCCCCCGGCUCAACCGGGGAACGGGCGCGGAUACGACUCUCCUUGAGGGGCGUAGGGGGACCUGGAACUUCCGGUGGAGCGGUGAAAUGCGUUGAGAUCGGAAGGAACGCCCGUGGCGAAAGCGAGCCCCUGGACGCUACUGACGCUGAGACGCGAAAGCCAGGGGAGCGAACGGG